rnacentral:rRNA from 1 species
UGCAUAUCCAAUAAGCGGAGGAAAAGAAACCAACAGGGAUUGCCUCAGUAACGGCGAGUGAAGCGGCAACAGCUCAAAUUUGAAAUCUGGCCGCAAGGUCCGAGUUGUAAUUUGCAGAGGAUGCUUUUGGCGAGGUGCCUUCCGAGUUCCCUGGAACGGGACGCCAUAGAGGGUGAGAGCCCCGUACGGUAGGACCACCGAGCCUCUGUAAAGCUCCUUCGACGAGUCGAGUAGUUUGGGAAUGCUGCUCUAAAUGGGAGGUGUACGUCUUCUAAAGCUAAAUACCGGCCAGAGACCGAUAGCGCACAAGUAGAGUGAUCGAAAGAUGAAAAGCACUUUGAAAAGAGGGUUAAAAAGUACGUGAAAUUGUUGAAAGGGAAGCAUUCAUGACCAGACUUGGGCUUGGUUGAACAUCCGGCGUUCUCGCCGGUGCACUCUGCCAGUCCAGGCCAGCAUCAGUUUGCCCCGGGGGAUAAAGGCGGUGGGAAUGUGGCACCCUCCGGGGUGUGUUAUAGCCCGCCGUGUAAUGCCCUGGGGUGGACUGAGGAACGCGCUUCGGCACGGAUGCUGGCGUAAUGGUCAUCAAUGACCCGUCUUGAACACGGACCA